rnacentral:rRNA from 1 species
AUUACCUGGUUGAUCCUGCCAGUAGUCAUAUGCUUGUCUCAAAGACUAAGCCAUGCAAGUCUAAGUACAUGCUUUAACAAAGUGAAACCGCGAAUGGCUCAUUAAAUCAGUUAUGGUUCCUUAGAUCGUACUAUCCUACUUGGAUAACUGUGGUAAUUCUAGAGCUAAUACAUGCAGCAGAACUCAGACCUUCGGGGACGAGUGCUUUUAUUAGACCAAGACCAAUCGGGCUUCGGCUCGACACCCAUGGCGACUCUGGAUAACUUUGGGCUGAUCGCACGAUCUUGUAUCGGCGACGUUUCUUUUUAAGUGUCUGCCUUAUCAACUGUCGAUGGUAGGUUAUGCGCCUACCAUGGUCGUAACGGGUGACGGGGAAUCAGGGUUCGAUUCCGGAGAGGGAGCCUGAGAAACGGCUACCACAUCCAAGGAAGGCAGCAGGCGCGCAAAUUACCCACUCCCGGCAAGGGGAGGUAGUGACGAAAAAUAACGAUGCGGGACUCUUUUGAGGCCCCGCAAUCGGAAUGAGGCUCGUAGUUGGAUCUCAGUUCGAGACUGGCGGUCCGCCGUUCGGUGGUUACUGCCAGGACUCAACAUCCUGCCGGUUUUCCCCUGGUGCUCUUCACUGAGUGUCUCGGGUGCCCGGCACGUUUACUUUGAAAAAAUUAGAGUGCUCAAAGCAGGCGUUUAGCCUGAAUAAUGGUGCAUGGAAUAAUGUAAUAGGAUCUCGGUUCUAUUGUGUUGGUUUUCGGAACACGAGGUAAUGAUUAAAAGGGACAGACGGGGGCAUUCGUAUUGCGACGCUAGAGGUGAAAUUCUUGGACCGUCGCAAGACGAACUACUGCGAAAGCAUUUGCCAUGCAUGUUUUCAUUAAUCAAGAACGAAAGUUAGAGGUUCGAAGGCGAUCAGAUACCGCCCUAGUUCUAACCAUAAACGAUGCCAACCAGCAAUCCGCCUGAGUUCCUCAAAUGACUCGGCGGGCAGCUUCCGGGAAACCAAAGUGUUUGGGUUCCGGGGGAAGUAUGGUUGCAAAGCUGAAACUUAAAGGAAUUGACGGAAGGGCACCACCAGGAGUGGAGCCUGCGGCUUAAUUUGACUCAACACGGGAAAACUUACCCGGCCCGGACACCGGAAGGAUUGACAGAUUAAGAGCUCUUUCUUGAUUCGGUGGGUGGUGGUGCAUGGCCGUUCUUAGUUGGUGGAGCGAUUUGUCUGGUUAAUUCCGAUAACGAACGAGACUCUAGCCUACUUAAUAGAGAACCGAUUUCCUCUCGUCGGUUACUCUUCUUAGAGGGACAAGCGGCGUUUAGCCGCACGAGACAGAGCAAUAACAGGUCUGUGAUGCCCUUAGAUGUCCGGGGCCGCACGCGCGCUACACUGAAGGAAUCAGCGUGUGUUCACCCUGACCGAAAGGUCUGGGUAACCCGUUGAACCUCCUUCGUGAUAGGGAUAGGGGCUUGUAACUAUUCCCCUUGAACGAGGAAUUCCCAGUAAGCGCGAGUCAUAAGCUCGCGUUGAUUACGUCCCUGCCCUUUGUACACACCGCCCGUCGCUACUACCGAUUGAAUGAUUUAGUGAGGUCUUCGGACUGGUGCUCGGAGCGGCCCUCGGGUCGCGCCGGCGUACCGGAAAAGAUGACCAAACUUGAUCAUUUAGAGGAAGUAAAAGUCGUAACAAGGUUUCCGUAGGUG